rnacentral:lncRNA from 1 species
AGAUCUCUAUUUAUAGAUGAAUUUUUUAUAAUUUUUUGAUAGGAAAAGGAGUCCUAAAACUCUUAGAAAUUAUUUUAAUCUCUUAGGAAUAUUUUUGGCCAUCGGAUCAGCUUCAGACUGCCCUGAUCUGCCCGAAAAAUCCUCAUUUUAAUCCAAAUCAAAGUUGGAUCGAAUGUCAGCUAUUGGAUCUGGGUUUUGAUAAAGUUUUGGCCAUC